CCUGGCGGCAGUAGCGCGGUGGUCCCACCUGACCCCAUGCCGAACUCAGAAGUGAAACGCCGUAGCGCCGAUGGUAGUGUGGGGUCUCCCCAUGCGAGAGUAGGGAACUGCCGGCA
rnacentral:rRNA from 1 species